CUAUGAAAACUUCCAUCUUUAUUGAAGAGUAUGGCUGUUUGUGUUUUCAAUGUAAUCAUACCAUCUCCCGACUUCCAGUCCGUGUUAGUAUAUAUAAGGUUGUGAUCUUUGUUAUAUUCUGUACGAAAGGAAUAUGCAUAGCCAGAAAAUGUUGUUCCAAAAUCUAUUGCUACAACAACUAAAGCAUAUUGUUUUCCAUAUGGCUUAGCU
rnacentral:lncRNA from 1 species